GGAUGGUCUCGAUCUCCUGAUCUCGUGAUCUACCCGUCUCGGCCUCCCAAAGUGCUGGGAUUACAGGCUUGAGCCACCGCGCCCGGCCUACAUACUGGAAUUUUUACAGGGAAAACCAAUUGAGCAUGCUGGGCAUCAGGUCACUAGUACUGAGUGAAUUUUUCACAACAAGCAGUAAUUCUGUUUUAAAAAAAUAAACACAUUCCCCAGCCCCAUGCAUCACAGCCAAUCCUAAAUGAAUGCCAAUCUGGAAAAGACCAAAAUAAACCAUCUGAAGAUGGGAAGAGCUGCUCUUGGUGAUGGGAGAAUGGGGACACUCUCUUUCAUUGUGCAAAUUCCACUUUCCGUCACACAGGAAAAUCCAUUUUGAAGGCAGCUCCUCUCUGUGCCGGGGACGGGUGAUCCAGCCUAAGCUAGAAAGGUGGCAAGCUCAAGGCCGCUGUGGCCCUCAGGAGAGCGUCUAGAGUCCACAGCAUAGUGGGAAGCACAAUGGCAGCUAGUCUGAGGGUCUGGACAAUGGCCGUGCACAGAGGGGACAGAGGAGUGACUAAAGCCUACAGCAUCCACCCUCUCCAGCCAGCCCCGCCCACACCUGCUGGCCUUCCUCUCCUUCCUGUUUGGUGAGUGGCGCCUCUACACCUGGCUGCAUACCAGAAAGGCCUGCACAGGUCAGAACACAGGUGUCCAAACCCCACUCCAAGUCUGAAGCUCCGAGGACACCGCGAGCUCCUCAAGGUCCUUGCAAAGAGAGCACAGGCCAGAGACACCCCAGGUGGGAAGCUUCCUCUGAGUGAGCCGCCCUCACCAGGAUGCAUUCACGGGCUCCUGUACAAGGAGAGGAGGCAGAAGUCCUCUCUGCCAGGAGGUCCUCCUCAAUCUCCCAAGCCCACACUACUGCCCUGCUCCAUCUCCCACCACCUCCCCCUGCAGAUAUGGGGCCACCCCACCCCACAGGGACGAUGAGAAAACCUGCCUCCCUCUAGGAGGAGGGCGUGGCACAGCUGCUGCACAGAGUUUAUGACUUUUACCCAAUAAGCACCUGAAGGGCAUCGAGACGCCCCAGCUGGCUCAGACAACCUAGGCCACUUCUCUGGCCCAAGUGGACUUUCAGCAACAUCUCCGAUGGAGCUGCCACAACAGGGUCCAAGGCUAGAAACUACCCUUGGGAACAGGACCGGGGCUUCGUGAUGACAAACAUGCACGUGGCCAGCAGGGAGACAGACGGACAGGUAACGGAGCGAGGGCACUGAGGUACAGGGAUGUGCGCCCCCAGAUCCUACCUGCGAUACAGCCAGGAGGAGCCAGGAGCUGACCACACGGCUCCCAGUCCCGCACACGGGUGACUGGGUACGAAUGUGGCUCCCCGCAUUGUCCAGAAGACGAGCAGGGAGGAUGAACCAGAGCAGACGCUGAGGAGAACCAGUACCCUCCCCCUCUACACCAGCACACACUGCCUGGGGCCCCCGCAGGAAGACCUGCUGGCAAGGCAGGGUCUUGCCCAGAGAAAGUUCAAGAUCGGUUUGAGGACAGCCAAGGUGUCCCCACCUCUGUCGUUAAUGAAGAUGACACAAUGCAACACACUCCUCAGAAGUCGCUCUCCAUCUUAAGCACGCAGCCAGGCUCUGCUAGAAAUAAAACUCACACACCUUGUUUGCUCUCUGGGGA